UUUGGGUAGCUUUGGUUCUCAUCAAUGAUGUGUAUUAACCACACGAUUGACGUUUUGUCACCAAUCCAUGAAUGACACGAAAUCUAGUGAUAUUAUUAGCUCAUAUUGUAUCUUAGACGGUAGUCGAUAUCUUAGUUUCUAGUGAUAUUAAUAGUUCAAAGCAAACACGAAUCUCUUUUGUUGUUUUUCGAAGACCCCACAAUAUUAAUACGUCUUAAGAAUGAGUCCUGCUGGCUAUGGUACGGAGUAGCAACAUAACAUCUUAAUUUGGCAAUCGAGCCGGGGAAUAAAAGCAGAACGGAAAGAAAUGAUUUUUACUUUGUGCUCGGUUUUCUUCGCUCUUCGGUCUUCACCAGUGUUUAUCGAACCGUGAUCUCCUUCCUGUGAUUGUGUUUUGCUUCGAAAACAAGCUCGGUUGUGUUGGGCUCAUCAGAAACAGUAAUUCCUUGAGUUUUGCGGUCCGAUUGAAGGUCGGAGAAGAAUAUCUCUGAUCCGAGCAAUGAUAACCCGGUCGAAGCUCGUUGAGCAACUCAGAGACCACCAGAUCCGUUCCCAACGCAAGUGUCCGGCUCUUACUGUCUUCUCCCCCAAACCCCAUUUCACUUCCUGGGUCGAUGUCACCGUGGCAAUCUUUUGGGCUCUAAUCUUUAGCAUGCUUGUCGUGUCAUGCUAUUGGUCCCUUUACUUAGGCCACAUUCGGAUUUCUUUUGUGGUAAUCUGCAUUGGUAUCUUUCUUCCUGUACGCCUAAGAAAAUCUAGGCAGUCCCUUGCCAGGAAGAAGGAGAGAAGACUGCUGUUACCAUUGUCUAUGUGAACAUCUGUGGCAGAGAAACUAUGCAGCGCGCAGUGUACGCCUCACUGCCCCUUUUUGAGAUUAGAUGCAUACACAAAGGCAUGAGAAUUUGCCAAACACCAUUUCUUGAUCAUUGCAAACAGCAUAGAUUUUUAACUUAGAGAAAAUGCUACUUCCUAUUAAUUUUCCCUUCAUGGGCUUGUAGAUUCAAUUGGGUUUCAGAAAUAUCUGUACUCAAAUAUUGUGCAGUUAAAGUGGUUGCAUAUUUAGAAGUUCAGGCACAGCCUAGACCCGAGAGGUGAUACCAGCUUACAAAUGAAUAGUUGGCACUUUGAAUUUUUUUUAUGAGAAUCCAGUGAUACGUGGGUCCAAAUGGCCUGCAAUGUGAGCAGAA